UGGGGGAUAUUGCGCAAUGGGGGCAACCCUGACGCAGCAACGCCGCGUGAAGGAUGAAGGUUUUCGGAUUGUAAACUUCUUUUAUUAAGGACGAAAAAUGACGGUACUUAAUGAAUAAGCUCCGGCUAACUACGUGCCAGCAGCCGCGGUAAUACGUAGGGAGCAAGCGUUGUCCGGAUUUACUGGGUGUAAAGGGUGCGUAGGCGGCUUUGCAAGUCAGAUGUGAAAUCUAUGGGCUCAACCCAUAAACUGCAUUUGAAACUGUAGAGCUUGAGUGAAGUAGAGGCAGGCGGAAUUCCCCGUGUAGCGGUGAAAUGCGUAGAGAUGGGGAGGAACACCAGUGGCGAAGGCGGCCUGCUGGGCUUUAACUGACGCUGAGGCACGAAAGCGUGGGUAGCAAACAGGA
rnacentral:rRNA from 1 species